rnacentral:rRNA from 1 species
CGCCUGUUUAUCAAAAACAUCUCUUCUCGUUAGUUUUUGAAGUAUGGCCUGCCCACUGACCUUGAAUGUUGAAGGGCCGCGGUAUUUUGACCGUGCAAAGGUAGCAUAGUCAUUAGUUCUUUAAUUGUGAUCUGGUAUGAAUGGCUUGACGAGGCAUAAGCUGUCUUAAUUUUGAAUUGUUUAUUGAAUUUGGUCUUUGAGUUAAAAUUCUUAGAUGUUUUUAUGGGACGAGAAGACCCUAUAGAGUUUGACAUUUAUUAUGGUCUCUUUCUGUUUGUGAGGGUUCACUAGGGCUGUCAAAUAUGUUUUGUUGGGGUGAUGGGAGGGAUAUUAUUUAACCCCUCCUUUGUGUUGUUAUAUUUAUUUAUAUUUGCUUGAUCCAUUUAUUUUGAUUGUAAGAUUAAAUUACCUUAGGGAUAACAGCGUAA